ACAUGCCUACAACAUAACAUUAAUGCAUUGGAUCCCAUUAUAACUCCGCAGUUAAGCAUGCUCAGGCUAGAGUAGUACUGAGAUGGGUGACCACCUGGGAAGCAUUAGUAUUUUACAUGCC
rnacentral:rRNA from 1 species